rnacentral:rRNA from 1 species
AAUACCGGAUGACCUUACGAUGUCAGAAUGGUAAGGAAAGCUACGGCGCUUGAGGAGCGGUCUGCGGCCCAUCAGCUAGUUGGUAGGGUAAAGGCCUACCAAGGCGAAGACGGGUAGGGGGUGUGAGAGCACGGNCCCCCACAAUGGGACUGAGACACGGCCCAUACUCCUACGGGAGGCAGCAGCAGGGAAUAUUGCACAAUGGACGGAAGUCUGAUGCAGCGACGCCGCGUGAGUGAAGAAGGCCUUCGGGUUGUAAAACUCUUUUGAGGGGGAAGAGCGAGGACGGUACCCCUGGAAUAAGCGUCGGCUAACUACGUGCCAGCAGCCGCGGUAAGACGUAGGACGCGAGCGUUAUCCGGAUUUACUGGGCGUAAAGCGUCUGUAGGCGGAUGUGUAAGUUGGGCGUGAAAGCUCCGGGCUUAACCCGGAGAGGCCGUUCAAUACUGCAUAACUUGAGGGUGUCAGAGGGGAGCGGAAUUCCCGGUGUAGCGGUAAAAUGCGCAGAGAUCGGGAGGAACACCAGUGGCGGAGGCGGUUCCCUGGGGCACACCUGACGCUGAGAGACGAAAGCUAGGGGAGCGAACAGGAUUAGAGACCCUGGUAGUCCUAGCCCUAAACGAUGAAUGCUAGGUGUGGGAUCGAAUGGUUCCGUGCCGGAGCGAACGCGAUAAGCAUUCCGCCUGGGGAGUACGGCCGCAAGGUUAAAACUCAAACGAAUUGACGGGGCCCCGCACAAGCAGCGGAGCGUGUGGUUUAAUUCGAUGCUACACGAAGAACCUUACCUGGGUUUGACAUGUAGGUGGUAGUGAAUCGAAAGGUGAACGACCCUUCGGGGAGCCUACACAGGUGCUGCAUGGCUGUCGUCAGCUCGUGCCGUGAGGUGUCGGGUUAAGUCCCGUAACGAGCGCAACCCUUGCUCCUAGUUACAAGUGUCUAGGGGGACUGCCGGCGGAAAGCCGGAGGAAGGUGGGGAUGACGUCAAGUCAGCAUGGCCCUUAUAUCCAGGGCUACACACACGCUACAAUGGUCGGUACAAAGGGCAGCGAAACCGCGAGGCGGAGCGAAUCCGAGAAAAGCCGAUCGUAGUUCGGAUAGCAGGCUGCAACCCGCCUGCUUGAAGCUGGAGUUGCUAGUAACCGCGCGUCA